GGAUAAGUGGCGAAAUCGGAAGACGCUUAGUUUCUGUGGUAAAAAUGCACGAAUAGCAUCACGAGUCAGGUAAUAUGCUAUUAACACUUGACAUACGUACAAACGGAAGCAGAAACGAAAAUCCUGAUUGCAACAGUUCCCGGUUCGAGUCCGGGCUUAUCCA
rnacentral:tRNA from 1 species